GACGAACGCUGGCGGCGUGCUUAACACAUGCAAGUCGAACGGAAAGGCCCUGCUUUUGUGGGGUGCUCGAGUGGCGAACGGGUGAGUAACACGUGAGUAACCUGCCCUUGACUUUGGGAUAACUUCAGGAAACUGGGGCUAAUACCGGAUAGGAGCUCCUGCUGCAUGGUGGGGGUUGGAAAGUUUCGGCGGUUGGGGAUGGACUCGCGGCUUAUCAGCUUGUUGGUGGGGUUGUGGCUUACCAAGGCUUUGACGGGUAGCCGGCCUGAGAGGGUGACCGGCCACAUGGGGACUGAGGUACGGCCCAGACUCCAACGGGAGGCAGCAGGGGGGAAUAUUGCACAAUGGGCGGAAGCCUGAUGCAGCAACGCCGCGUGCGGGAUGACGGCCUUCGAGUUGUAAACCGCUUUCGCCGGUGACGAAGCGUGAGUGACGGUAAUGGGUAAAGAAGCACCGGCUAACUACGUG
rnacentral:rRNA from 1 species